rnacentral:rRNA from 1 species
CCAAUAGCGUAUAUUAAAGUUGUUGCAGUUAAAAAGCUCGUAGUUGAAUUUCGGGGUUAGUAGGUUGGUCAUGCCUCUGGUAUGUACUGGUCUCACUGAUUCCUCCUUCCUUAUGAACCGUAAUGCCAUUAAUUUGGUGUUGCGGGGAAUUUGGACUGUUACUUUGAAAAAAUUAGAGUGUUUAAAGCAAGCUAACGCUUGAAUACAUUAGCAUGGAAUAAUGAGAUAGGACGUUCGAUCUUAUUUUGUUGGUUUCUAGGAUUGACGUAAUGAUUAAUAGUGAUAGUUGGGGGCAUUAGUAUUCAAUUGUCAGAGGUGAAAUUCUUGGAUUUAUUGAAGACUAACUACUGCGAAAGCAUUUGCCAAGGAUGUUUUCAUUAAUCAAGAACGAAAGUUAGGGGAUCGAAGACGAUCAGAUACCGUCGUAGUCUUAACCAUAAACUAUGCCGACUAGGGAUCGGAUGAUGUUAAUUUUUUAAUGACUCAUUCGGCGCCUUACG